rnacentral:rRNA from 1 species
AUUGAACGCUGGCGGCAUGCCUUACACAUGCAAGUCGAACGGCAGCACGGGUGCUUGCACCUGGUGGCGAGUGGCGAACGGGUGAGUAAUACAUCGGAACAUGUCCUGUAGUGGGGGAUAGCCCGGCGAAAGCCGGAUUCAUACCGCAUACGAUCUACGGCUGAAAGCGGGGGACCUUCGGGCCUCGCGCUAUAGGGUUGGCCGAUGGCUGAUUAGCUAGUUGGUGGGGUAAAGGCCUACCAAGGCGACGAUCAGUAGCUGGUCUGAGAGGACGACCAGCCACACUGGGACUGAGACACGGCCCAGACUCCUACGGGAGGCAGCAGUGGGGAAUUUUGGACAAUGGGCGAAAGCCUGAUCCAGCAAUGCCGCGUGUGUGAAGAAGGCCUUCGGGUUGUAAAGCACUUUUGUCCGGAAAGAAAUCCUUGGCCCUAAUACGGUCGGGGGAUGACGGUACCGGAAGAAUAAGCACCGGCUAACUACGUG